AGGGGGUGUUCCGGUGUGAUGUUCCGCAAAAACAGGCUCUCUCCAGGCCUUGCUGCCUGUGGGGAGCCAGUCCGGCAGCCGUGACACCCCGAGGUGCUCCCACAGCCCCAGCGGCAUCUCCCAGGGCCUCAGCACCCAGUUGGGUCCCUCCCCCAGCGUCCUUGCCCACCAGCCUCCUUCCUGGGCCAGGCCCGGGGGCUUCUCGGCAGUGGCUCCACCGACCCCAAAUCUGGGCACCCGGAUGCCCUCCAACCCCAGCAUUUGGCGGGAGAUCACAGGAGACCAGCAGAUCACCAAACCGCCAGGAUACAGAGUUUCAAAACAGCCUCUCGGACACUGCCUGAUUUCUACAGAGGCAAUUCCACUGCGUCUCGUCACGCUUUUAUAUUCUAGAAGCACCAGAUAUGGGUUUUCACAAUGCACAUUAAAGCCAUCCAUGUGACAAGCCGCCAAAGACAGGUGUACUUACAGUAACGGAAAAGGGUUGUUUUUUUUUUUUUAACAAGGAAAGGAAGAAAAGAAAGAAAGAAGAAGAAAGAAAGAGAGAAAGAGGAAGGAGGGAGGGAGGGAGGGAGGGAGGGAGGGAGGGAGGGAGGGAGGGAGGGAGGGAGGGAGGGAGGGAAGGAAGGAAGAAAAGAAAGAAGAAAGAAAGAAAGAAGAAGAAAGAAAGAAAGAAGAAAGAAGAAAGAAAAGAAAGAAGAAGAAAGAAAAAAGAAGGAAGGAAAGAAAGCAAGAAAGAAAGAAGAAGAAAGAAAGAAAGAAAGAAAGAAAGAAAAAGAAAAGAAAGAAAAGAAAGAGAAAGAAAGAAAGAAGAAAGAAGAAAGAAGAAAGAAAAAAGAAGAAAGAAAGAAGAAAGAAAGAAAAAAGAAAAGAAAGAAAGAAGAAAGAAAGAAGGAAAGAAAGCAAGAAAGAAAGAAAGAACGAAAGAAAGAAAGAGAAAGAAAGAAAGAAGAAAGAAAGAAAGAAAGAAAGAAGAAGAAAGAAAGAAAGAAAGACAAAGAAAGAGAGAAAGAGGAAGGAGGGAGGGAGGGAGGGAGGGAAGGAAGGAAGAAGGAAAGAAAGAAGAAAGAAAGAAGAAGAAAGAAAGAAGAAGAAAGAAAGAAAGAAAAGAAAAGAAAAAGAAAAAAGAAGAAAGAAGAAAGAAAAAAGAAGGAAGGAAGAAAAGAAAGAGAAAGAAAGAAGGAAAGAAAGAAAGAAAGAAAGAAAGAAAGAAAGAAAGAAAGACAAAGAGAGAAAGAGGAAGGAGGGAGGGAGAGAAGGAAGGAAGAAAGAAAAGAAAGAAAGAAGAAAGAAAGAAGAAAGAAGAAAGAAAAGAAAGAAGAAAGAAAAGAAAAAAGAAAAGAAAGAAGAAAGAAAAAAGAAGGAAGGAAAGAAAGCAAGAAAGAAAGAAAGAAGGAAAGAAAGAAGAAAGAAAACCAGAUGGUUUUUAUUCCUCACCUUCUGGGCCAGAGAGGAAGCAAUACACCUAAUCAGCCAGGUGGUAGGAGGGGCCAUGAGGGA
rnacentral:lncRNA from 1 species